CUACGGGUGGCUGCAGUGGGGAAUAUUGCACAAUGGGCGCAAGCCUGAUGCAGCCAUGCCGCGUGUAUGAAGAAGGCCUUCGGGUUGUAAAGUACUUUCAGCGGGGAGGAAGGGAGUAAAGUUAAUACCUUUGCUCAUUGACGUUACCCGCAGAAGAAGCACCGGCGGACUCCGUGCCAGCAGCCGCGGUAAUACGGAGGGUGCAAGCGUUAAUCGGAAUUACUGGGCGUAAAGCGCACGCAGGCGGUUUGUUAAGUCAGAUGUGAAAUCCCCGGGCUCAACCUGGGAACUGCAUCUGAUACUGGCAAGCUUGAGUCUCGUAGAGGGGGGUAGAAUUCCAGGUGUAGCGGUGAAAUGCGUAGAGAUCUGGAGGAAUACCGGUGGCGAAGGCGGCCCCCUGGACGAAGACUGACGCUCAGGUGCGAAAGCGUGGGGAGCAAGCAGGAUUAGAUACCCCGGUAGUC
rnacentral:rRNA from 1 species